rnacentral:rRNA from 1 species
GUCGAACGGAACUGUUUUGAAAGAUUUCUUCGGAAUGAAUUUGAUUUAGCUUAGUGGCGGACGGGUGAGUAACGCGUGAGUAACCUGCCUUCAAGAGGGGGAUAACAUUCUGAAAAGAAUGCUAAUACCGCAUGACAUAUCGGAACCACAUGGUUCUGAUAUCAAAGAUUUUAUCGCUUGAAGAUGGACUCGCGUCCGAUUAGUUAGUUGGUGAGGUAACGGCUCACCAAGACCGCGAUCGGUAGCCGGACUGAGAGGUUGAACGGCCACAUUGGGACUGAGACACGGCCCAGACUCCUACGGGAGGCAGCAGUGGGGGAUAUUGCGCAAUGGGGGCAACCCUGACGCAGCAACGCCGCGUGAAGGAUGAAGGUUUUCGGAUUGUAAACUUCUUUUAUUAAGGACGAAACUUGACGGUACUUAAUGAAUAAGCUCCGGCUAACUACGUGCCAGCAGCCGCGGUAAUACGUAGGGAGCAAGCGUUGUCCGGAUUUACUGGGUGUAAAGGGUGCGUAGGCGGCUUUGCAAGUCAGAUGUGAAAUCUAUGGGCUCAACCCAUAAACUGCAUUUGAAACUGUAGAGCUUGAGUGAAGUAGAGGCAGGCGGAAUUCCCCGUGUAGCGGUGAAAUGCGUAGAGAUGGGGAGGAACACCAGUGGCGAAGGCGGCCUGCUGGGCUUUAACUGACGCUGAGGCACGAAAGCGUGGGUAGCAAA